CCUGCAUACACUAGUUGUAACACAUAGAGACAAUACAUUUUAGUGGCAACUAAAAUGACUGUAUUUCCAAAUUCAGAUGGAGGGCAGGAAGUGAAAAGCAGAAUGGAUGAGAUGGACGAAAGUCCGUACUGUACUGGUUUAGACACUAUUACAAGAAAAAGGUAUAAACAGACAAUCUCAACAUAUGUUGGACGUGAUCCUCAUGUUAUGAAAAGGAGCUUUUUUUUUUUUUUUUUUUUUUUUUUUUUUUUUUUUUUUUUUUUUUUUUUUUUUUUUUUUUUUUUUUUUUUUUUUUUUUUUUUUUUUUUUUUUUUUUUUUUUUUUUUUUUUUUUUUUUUUUUUUUUUUUUUUUUUUUUUUUUUUUUUUUUUUUUUUUUUUUUUUUUUUUUUUUUUUUUUUUUUUUUUUUUUUUUUUUUUUUUUUUUUUUUUUUUUUUUUUUUUUUUUUUUUUUUUUUUUUUUUUUUUUUUUUUUUUUUUUUUUUUUUUUUUUUUUUUUUUUUUUUUUUUUUUUUUUUUUUUUUUUUUUUUUUUUUUUUUUUUUUUUUUUUUUUUUUUUUUUUUUUUUUUUUUUUUUUUUUUUUUUUUUUUUUUUUUUUUUUUUUUUUUUUUUUUUUUUUUUUUUUUUUUUUUUUUUUUUUUUUUUUUUUUUUUUUUUUUUUUUUUUUUUUUUUUUUUUUUUUUUUUUUUUUUUUUUUUUUUUUUUUUUUUUUUUUUUUUUUUUUUUUUUUUUUUUUUUUUUUUUUUUUUUUUUUUUUUUUUUUUUUUUUUUUUUUUUUUUUUUUUUUUUUUUUUUUUUUUUUUUUUUUUUUUUUUUUUUUUUUUUUUUUUUUUUUUUUUUUUUUUUUUUUUUUUUUUUUUUUUUUUUUUUUUUUUUUUUUUUUUUUUUUUUUUUUUUUUUUUUUUUUUUUUUUUUUUUUUUUUUUUUUUUUUUUUUUUUUUUUUUUUUUUUUUUUUUUUUUUUUUUUUUUUUUUUUUUUUUUUUUUUUUUUUUUUUUUUUUUUUUUUUUUUUUUUUUUUUUUUUUUUUUUUUUUUUUUUUUUUUUUUUUUUUUUUUUUUUUUUUUUUUUUUUUUUUUUUUUUUUUUUUUUUUUUUUUUUUUUUUUUUUUUUUUUUUUUUUUUUUUUUUUUUUUUUUUUUUUUUUUUUUUUUUUUUUUUUUUUUUUUUUUUUUUUUUUUUUUUUUUUUUUUUUUUUUUUUUUUUUUUUUUUUUUUUUUUUUUUUUUUUUUUUUUUUUUUUUUUUUUUUUUUUUUUUUUUUUUUUUUUUUUUUUUUUUUUUUUUUUUUUUUUUUUUUUUUUUUUUUUUUUUUUUUUUUUUUUUUUUUUUUUUUUUUUUUUUUUUUUUUUUUUUUUUUUUUUUUUUUUUUUUUUUUUUUUUUUUUUUUUUUUUUUUUUUUUUUUUUUUUUUUUUUUUUUUUUUUUUUUUUUUUUUUUUUUUUUUUUUUUUUUUUUUUUUUUUUUUUUUUUUUUUUUUUUUUUUUUUUUUUUUUUUUUUUU
rnacentral:lncRNA from 12 species